UACGGAGGGUGCAAGCGUUAUCCGGAUUCACUGGGUUUAAAGGGUGCGUAGGCGGGCAGGUAAGUCCGUGGUGAAAUCUCUGAGCUUAACUCGGAAACUGCCAUGGAUACUAUUUGUCUUGAAUAUUGUGGAGGUAAGCGGAAUAUGUCAUGUAGCGGUGAAAUGCUUAGAUAUGACAUAGAACACCAAUUGCGAAGGCAGCUUACUACACAGUUAUUGACGCUGAGGCACGAAAGCGUGGGGAUCAAACAGG
rnacentral:rRNA from 1 species